rnacentral:rRNA from 1 species
UACGUAGGGUGCGAGCGUUGUCCGGAAUUAUUGGGCGUAAAGAGCUCGUAGGCGGUGUGUCACGUCGGCCGUGAAAACCUGCAGCUUAACUGUGGGCGUGCGGUCGAUACGGGCAUCACUGGAGUUCGGCAGGGGAGACUGGAAUUCCUGGUGUAGCGGUGAAAUGCGCAGAUAUCAGGAGGAACACCGGUGGCGAAGGCGGGUUGCUGGGCUGACACUGACGCUGAACUGCGAAAGCUAGGGGAGCGAACGGG